GUGAGACACGACAACUGCAAGCAGACGACCGCGGACUCGUGCUACCGCCGGGCGUCGGGGGAGGAGCCGCCGGGCCGGGGAGGGCCGAACCCUCCCCUCCCGGCUGCCGGCCCCCGUCGCUCCCCGCGCGCCCGUCGCGCGGACGAACAACCCAACCCCGGCGCGGAAAGCGCCAAGGAAAACUCAAAACGAUCGCCCGGCCCCCCGGCUGCCCCGUUCGCGGAUCGCAGGGGGGGCGCCGUGGCGUCCCGUCGUAACCGAAACGACUCUCGGCAACGGAUAUCUCGGCUCUCGCAUCGAUGAAGAACGUAGCGAAAUGCGAUACUUGGUGUGAAUUGCAGAAUCCCGCGAACCAUCGAGUCUUUGAACGCAAGUUGCGCCCGAAGCCAUCCGGCCGAGGGCACGUCUGCCUGGGCGUCACGCAUCGCGUCGCCACCCCCGACCCGCGGGGCGGCGGAGACUGGCCUCCCGUGCCCGUCGGGCGCGGCCGGCCUAAAUGCGAGUCCUCGGCGGGGGACGUCACGACUGGUGGUGGUUGAAUCCCUCAACUCGAGUCCCUGUCGUGCCGGCAACCCCCGCCGUCAUCCGGGCUCCGUCGACCCUCGAGCCCGCGCGCCCCGGCGCCGAGCCUCGACCGCGACCCCAGGUCAGGCGGGAUUACCCGCUGA
rnacentral:rRNA from 1 species